rnacentral:tRNA from 2 species
GCCCUUAUAGUUUAAUUAAAACAAGGGCUUUUCAAGCCCUAGCCCCAGGUUAAACCCCUGGUAAGAGUA